rnacentral:rRNA from 1 species
UACGGGGGGGGCAAGCGUUGUUCGGAAUUACUGGGCGUAAAGGGCUCGUAGGUGGCCAACUAAGUCAGACGUGAAAUCCCUCGGCUUAACCGGGGAACUGCGUCUGAUACUGGAUGGCUUGAGUUUGGGAGAGGGACGCGGAAUUCCAGGUGUAGCGGUGAAAUGCGUAGAUAUCAGGAGGAACACCGGUGGCGAAGGCGGGAUCCUGGGCCAGUACUGACGCUGAGGAGCGAAAGCGUGGGGAGCAAACAGG